UGUUCUGGGAUAGCUCAGUUGGUAGAACACAUGACUCUUGACCUCAGGGUUGUGGGUUUGAGCCCCACAUUGGGCAA